UAAUUAAGCGGAGGAAAAGAAACUAACUAGGAUUCCCUCAGUAAGGGCGACUGAAGGGGGAAAAGCUCAGUAUGUGAAUCUGUGUUUCGGCACCGAAUUGUGGUCUGCAGACUCUAGCGUUAUUGGCCGGGCUAAGUCCCUUGGAACAGGGCAGCAUAGAGGGUGAGACUCCCGUCCGCCUGGCCUUUGGAGCUGGAUGUCUUCGAGUCGAGUUGUUUGGGAUUGCAGCUCAAAGCGGGCGGUAAAUUCCAUCUAAAGCUAAAUAUUGGUGGGAGACCGAUAGCGUACAAGUACCGUGAGGGAAAGAUGCAAAGAACUUUGAAAAGAGAGUUAAAGAGUACCUGAAAUUGCUGAAAGGGAAGCGAAGGAAAUCAGUGCCGGCCGAGUCAUAUUUCUCCCUUCGCUUGCGGAGUGGGCGCUGUGUCUUGGCCACUGUCAGGCUUGGUUGGGCUGUUCGGAAUCGCGCUGUGAGAGUUGAUCACUGCAUGUCUGCGACUGGCCCGACUGAGGUUGACGAAAUGGUUUUCUUUACCCCG
rnacentral:rRNA from 1 species